UGAAAAAUGGCAGACUUCCUUCAGAGGAAAGGUGAUCAGAGAAGCAGAGAGCCUUACUACCACCCCGCUACUCCAGAGUUUGUUGAUGUCUGCGAAGAGCCAAUAUACUGGGAAGUCUUCAGAGGAUCACCAAGAGUGGGACAGUGACAUGUCAUCUUUACUGCUACUCCUUCAUAUCCUACCACCUCAGCCUACCAGAAAGAAAACACAGAAAAUCAGCGCAGCUCAGGCCAUGGACCAUCUGAUUGUAUUUCACAAGUCCUGUAGAAGCUUGGAAGAGUACCUACAGAAGGAUAAACAUUGCC